rnacentral:rRNA from 1 species
UACGAAGGGGGCGAGCGUUGUUCGGAAUUACUGGGCGUAAAGGGCGCGCAGGCGGCUCUGAAAGUCAGAUGUGAAAGCCCCGGGCUUAACCUGGGAAUUGCAUUUGAUACUCUGGAGCUUGAGUACGGGAGAGGAGAGUGGAAUUCCCAGCGUAGAGGUGAAAUUCGUAGAUAUCAGGAGGAACACCAGUGGCGAAGGCGGCUUUCUGGACGGUAACUGACGCUGAGACGCGAAAGCGUGGGAAGCAAACAGG